rnacentral:lncRNA from 1 species
AAGGCCACAACACUUAAUGUUCUUUUCCUCCUAGAAUGCUAUGCUUGGAUCAACCCACCUAAUCAAAACACCCUGCACUGAAUAAUCACAUCUUUAAAAAUUAUACAACUCUAAGUUGUACAGCAGCUCUCUAGAACUUCUUCUUCUUAUGUAAAACCUUAGAGCAUAUAGUUAACAAUUCAGUAUUAUGCACUUAAAACUUGCCCAUGCAGUAGAGCUCAUGCGAUGUGUUCUUUCCACAGAGAAUAAGAAAGCAAAGGAACACAAGAGUGCCUUUGGAGCUGGUGGAUAUGUUUGUUUCCCUGUAUAGGGUAAUGGUUAUCACAGGUGUAUGCAUCAGUCCAAGCUCAUCAAAACGUAUACAAUACAUGCAACUCUUUGUUUAUUAAGUAUACCUCAAUUAAAAAAAUUUUUUUUUUACCCACAACUGCAGCAAUGGAGGUUCCUGAGUGAGGGAUCAAACCCACACCACAGCAGCGACCCAAGCUGCUGCAGCGACCACAUCGGAUCCUUAACCCGCUAUGCCACAAGACAAUUCCUAUCUUAAUACGUUUUUUAUUUUUCUUUUUUUUUUUUUUUGUCUUUUUGUCUUUUUGUUGUUGUUGUUGCUAUUUCCUGGGCCGCCCCCACGGCAUAUGGAGGUUCCCAGGCUAGGGCCCUAAAAAAAAGACCAAAAAAAAAAAAAAAACACCUUAUUUAUAUAUGAUCCAAGAGGAUUCUGAAUGUUCUUAAUUCCAAGUCUACAAAUUAGAUAACCGAGAAAAAAUUAGUGCUAUCAGCUUCUACACUGAGUCAAAGA